UCUAAUUGCAGGGCAGUGGGUCCUAGUCAGAUUGUGUGAGCUUAGAGGCUCCUUAAAGAUAAAGAGAGAAAACAGGAGCUGGGGCCGGGGAGGUCACCUGUCAUUAAAUCACCUGUCAGUCAUGCUGUCACAAGCAUAAGGACCUGGGUUUGGGUCCUCAAUGGCUACAUAAAAAGCCAACCUGAUAGUCUAACUGUUACCCUGAGGUUCAGGGUGGAGAGACAAGUGAACCAUGGAGUUCAUUGGCCAGUCAACCUACCCAACCAAUGAGCCCCAGGCUCAGUAAGCGACCCGACAUCUCACAGUGACCUCUGACCUCCAUGUGCAAUAGUGACCCAAAUGUCAACCAGGGCUCUGAGACACUUUAUUCCAGAGCUGGACCAUUUUCACCUCAGAACAUAACCAAGCUGUUAAUGCUGUCCUUGUGUUCUUGGAAAAGAUAAUUAAUAAUAGAAGUGAUGAUGGUAAUGAUGGUCGUGAUAACAAUAGUAAGAGGGCACAAUUUAAUACCUCAGGGAAUUAGAAAUUUGGCUGUGUACCCUCAGAUCAGGCUGACCUUCAGGAAAGCAUUCUAAACUGGAACUGGGCUAUGGUUUUGCAAUAGACACUUAAACUAUAUUCUUAUGUACAGAAAAUAUUGUUUCCAAGAAUUGCUGCUAAGUACACUGAGGCUAGACUUACUUUGUUUAUCUAUUACUAUUACUUAAGCAGGUGAGUGUGGACUGUCUGCUGAAGUUUUCCCUUCUGCUGAGUACUCAGGAGAAAAUGGCAAAUGUGGUCGCCUCAGUGCCACAGAGAAAAACCACGUGGUAUAAAAGAGGGUGCUGGUGCCACGGAGACAGAUAAGAGAAGUACACAGUCAAGGUUAGAAAGGAGAGAGGCGGCAAGGUGACCAGGGUUCAUGGCUUUUCUGGUAAUUCUUAAAGACAUGAUACAUUUUUGAUUUACUGUUUUUAAAGGAUCAGUGGCAAAUAAGAUCUUUAAAGUUGACCUCCACUAGUUGUGGUUUGGCAAGAAUUUCUUGCCUAAUUUCUCCAGAAGUCAAGGCACUGACUUGGGUGGCAAGGUAGCAGUUCUGCAGUCACAGGCAAGCUAAGUUUUUAACUUUGUGUUAAGGGUUGGGCCCAGUGUAUCUUGACAAAUAUUUAAAGCUUGCCAAGUUAGUUUCCUCCAAGUACCACAUAGAGGAAAAGGGAGUGCCUGCUAGAUAGUUUUAUGAAUGGUGGAAGUAAAGUAAAUACUAGCCUCGGAUUAUUAUCUUCACAUUUACAUGGUAAACAGUUGAAAAAAAAAACCACCGUAGUUUAGCAACAACAAUCUAAGAUUAAGGCUAAAUGCCUUAGAAGGUUUUACAAAUAACAGUAUAUUUUUGUUUUAACACAGAUUUUUUUAUUCAUUAAUUUUUAGUAAGCAUAAAAAAUAAUGAGAUUUGCUUUUUGUUUUUUUUUUUUCCUCUCAACAUAGGGUUUCUCUGUGUAGCCCUGUCUUGGAACUCAGCCUGUAGAUCAGGCUGGCUUGAAUUGGGAGAUCUGCUUGCCUUUGCCUCACAAGUGCAAGGAUCAAAGGGUGUGCGUCACCACCGCUGGCAACAGUGAGCCUUUUUUUUUUUUAAAUUUAUUUAUUUAUCAUAUAUGAGUACACUUUAUCUAUCCUCAGACACACCAGUAGAGGGCUUCAGAUCUCAUUACAGAUGGUCGUGAGCCACCAUGUGGUUGCUGGGAUUUGAACUCAGGACCUUUGGAAGAGCAGUCAGUGCUCUUAACCACUGAGCCAUCUCUCCAGCCCAACAGUGAGCCUUUUAUGAGUUUUUUUUUCUGUGUAGGUGUGUGCACGUAUUUGUGCAUGUGGUGUACAUAGGUGUGCAUUGCUCAAGGAGGUCAGAGGUUAACCUCAGCCAUUGCACUUUAAGAGUCACCCAACCUACUUUUGGAGAUAGAGUCUUUCAUACGUAAGUUUCAAGAUAAAUAACAACAGAGGUUAGGUAGCUUGAAGGGACCAGUGGGGAAGGGAGGACCUUCGGGGGGGGGGGAAGAGUGUCGUGUUAUAAAGAGAUAACAGGGGAAGAGCACAUGGAAAAGAGGAUGAGAGGGCAGAGAAAGGAGAGAAUAUGGAGACAGAAAACUCACAUUAACGAACUUUUAAAAAUCCAGAUACACACCUAAUACCACAGAAGCUUUCUAAAAUAUAUGUGCAUAUGAAAGGAAUUUAAAUGGAGUCACCAUAGAAUGUAGGGGACAAUGCCCCAACAAGACAUCUUCUGCUACCUCUUAAAACCUCCUGUGCCAAGAAUGGCUUGGGUUAAAUCUUGGUGAGCUGUUGGUCAAAGGGGUCCCAUAUGCUGCCCCCCUCCCCCCAACAUCACAAACUGCUGCUUAAGGCAAUUGGUUACUCUCCACAACCUGAUGGUAAAGGCCAGACCACGGAAGAUACAGCUUCUCUAUGUCACUGAACAUAAGACAAUAGCUGGUGCCCAACUGAAAGUUUCGCCCCUACUGACAAGUGCUGAUAGUUCUGAAAGGGACUUUGCAGUCUACUGGAGGAGAAAAGUAAUUAUCAAGUUUCGCCCAGUGAUCUCCCUGCCUGCGUGACACACCUGUGCAAAAGUGGCAGAGAUGUUACCGGAAUAACCAACCACUUUUACAAAACUGGAUUCAGGAGAUGGAGCCCGUACCUGACACUGAAGUGGCCAAGAACCUUGGACUAGAGAGGUCAUGGGCCUAGGGGAAAACCAUUUUUCUGUUACAGGAACAGACCAAGAAAAUGAUUAUUCGGGACAUAUGGCUGUCCGCAUAGAGCAGAGUGUCGCUUAACCCUCAUUAGAGAAGGCUCUUCUUAUAGUAGAUGGGAAUUAACAAAGAGAUUCACAACAGGACAAGGUGCGGGGGGCAGGGGGGAGAGUUUGAAGCACUCGGCCCUAAGUGGGCAGUAUUUAUCAAUGCUAAUUGGCUCUGAGUUUAUUGUGUGGACAUUUUGUAGAGUGAGAAUUUACUGAUAUAAAUCUGAUCGAUAAAUUAUGAGCUUAUUGAGUUUUGAUUUUAACGGGGUACUGGGAGUUGUGACUAUAACCACAGAGGGCAGAUGCUUGGGACUGUGAACAGAGUUCGCGUCAGAGAGCCUCGAGGUAGACAGCGGCUGCUGGUGGAGAUGGAGGUGGAGAGGGCAGCGGCUGCCAGGGCCAGAGAGUAGCCAGCGACAGCAUGGGAUGAAAAUUGGAAACAAAGCGGGUCAAGUCGGGUUGAGACUUUUUUGCUGAUUGAGAUGAAAAUACCCCUCAGAUGCCAUAUGGCCCUGCAGUGCUGGUAAUAGCAUGAGUUGGUGUCUCAUUAUUAAAUUUUAUUAUUUAUUGUAACAGUGGACGACUCCAAGGAAACUGACUUCCAGACACAACAGUACUGAUAAACAAAUGAGCCCACUGUGCCAGCACCAAGGAGACCUGCACAGCUUCAACCCAGGAGUAGUUGAGCAACACAAAACAGACACCAUGGUUUUGUGUGGGUUUUUUUUGUUUUGUUUUGUUUUGUUUUGAUGAUUUUUGUCUUAUCUAUCUUCUCUUUUUUAGUUUGUCUGUUUUGAUUUUUAUGGUUUUUUUUUUCUUUAGAGAGAGGGGAAAAAGACUAGAAAGUACAUGUGUAGGGAGCUGGGGAAAACCUGAAAGGAAUUGGGAGAGGGAAAAGAAUACUAUCAAAUACAUUGUAUAACAUUUUUAAAUAAGAAUUUUAAAAAAUCCCCCCAAUACACCAAGACCUAAAGAACAUAAACAAAAUUACAUGACUAAAAUUUUUAGAUAUUAUAUAAAAUUAUCAUUUCUGAUAUAAUUGAAUGAUCAGAUUAUUUCCAGUCACAUUUAUUGGGAGCCAUCAAAGCUCAUUAUACAUGUGUAAGUAAGACCAAAUGCCAGAAUAUUUAAAUAAAAUAAUACUCAUUUUAUUAAUGUGGGAAAUAUAUGUGUCUGUGAGGUGGGCAUAUGAGCACGUGUGUGGAGAUCAGAGAGCAGCAUCAGGACUCUUCCUCUGUGUGAGACAGAGUCUUAGAACCCAGAGAUCACCAGCUUCGCUAGGCUGGUAAGCCUUCUGCAUCCCAGAAUCGGCCUCCCUAGCACUGGGGUUUGCAGCCAUUCUUGGCUUCUGUAUGGGAGCUGGGGAUCUGAACUCUGGUCCUCAUCUUGCUCACAAGUUUUCUCAGCUCUGCAACUAUGUUUUAAAAGAGAACAAAGGGGAAAAGAAAUAAGGACUUGGGAUUUCAGGUUAACUUUUUAACAUGGGGGUGUAUGUUUGGUUUGGUGCGAGAGUCUUCUAUUUGAGAGAGAAGAGGAGAAGCUGGGAGGGUUAAGGCACAACAGACACAAUCCCUUCUAAGUUCUCGAAAGUCUAGUUUAACACCCUACGUUGUGAGUCAGCCACUCGCCUUACUUGUCAACAGUGAUGAACUGGCAUAAACUCAUUUUCUUUUAGGAACUCAGAACACUGGAGCCUUUUGUGGUCACACAUGGCUUUGAAACUUAGUUUAUUCAAAGUUGUGAACAACGUCAAGAACACAUUUGGCUACUUAAUUACUAUUUUAAGGAUGGCGUGCAGAUUCAUAGAGUCAGCAUUGUGGUUUUCGGGGGGAGUAUAAAGAUUCUGCCUCUACUUUCCUUUACAGUAAAACUGUGACAAAUUAAUGAAACAAUUAUACCCGCUCUAAUUGUAUACGGUGGUUCCUGGCCUCUUUUGUUCUACACCCCACCGGCUAUUGUAUACAUAGUGAGUUUUAAGCUUAUAAAAAAUGUAGUAGAAAUUGCUGUUGUCUAAAUAGGUAAAACUAUUCCUUUAGUAGCUUGAAAUAUUA